rnacentral:rRNA from 1 species
AAAUUGAAGAGUUUGAUCAUGGCUCAGAUUGAACGCUGGCGGCAGGCCUAACACAUGCAAGUCGAACGGUAGCACAGAGAGCUUGCUCUCGGGUGACGAGUGGCGGACGGGUGAGUAAUGUCUGGGAAACUGCCUGAUGGAGGGGGAUAACUACUGGAAACGGUAGCUAAUACCGCAUAACGUCGCAAGACCAAAGAGGGGGACCUUCGGGCCUCUUGCCAUCAGAUGUGCCCAGAUGGGAUUAGCUAGUAGGUGGGGUAACGGCUCACCUAGGCGACGAUCCCUAGCUGGUCUGAGAGGAUGACCAGCCACACUGGAACUGAGACACGGUCCAGACUCCUACGGGAGGCAGCAGUGGGGAAUAUUGCACAAUGGGCGCAAGCCUGAUGCAGCCAUGCCGCGUGUAUGAAGAAGGCCUUCGGGUUGUAAAGUACUUUCAGCGGGGAGGAAGGUGUUGUGGUUAAUAACCACAGCAAUUGACGUUACCCGCAGAAGAAGCACCGGCUAACUCCGUGCCAGCAGCCGCGGUAAUACGGAGGGUGCAAGCGUUAAUCGGAAUUACUGGGCGUAAAGCGCACGCAGGCGGUCUGUCAAGUCGGAUGUGAAAUCCCCGGGCUCAACCUGGGAACUGCAUUCGAAACUGGCAGGCUGGAGUCUUGUAGAGGGGGGUAGAAUUCCAGGUGUAGCGGUGAAAUGCGUAGAGAUCUGGAGGAAUACCGGUGGCGAAGGCGGCCCCCUGGACAAAGACUGACGCUCAGGUGCGAAAGCGUGGGGAGCAAACAGGAUUAGAUACCCUGGUAGUCCACGCCGUAAACGAUGUCGAUUUGGAGGUUGUGCCCUUGAGGCGUGGCUUCCGGAGCUAACGCGUUAAAUCGACCGCCUGGGGAGUACGGCCGCAAGGUUAAAACUCAAAUGAAUUGACGGGGGCCCGCACAAGCGGUGGAGCAUGUGGUUUAAUUCGAUGCAACGCGAAGAACCUUACCUGGUCUUGACAUCCACAGAACUUUCCAGAGAUGGAUUGGUGCCUUCGGGAACUGUGAGACAGGUGCUGCAUGGCUGUCGUCAGCUCGUGUUGUGAAAUGUUGGGUUAAGUCCCGCAACGAGCGCAACCCUUAUCCUUUGUUGCCAGCGGU